rnacentral:lncRNA from 1 species
AACAUCAUGUAGUAAAGGGCAGUUGAUAGAGUAUACUUGAGUUGUUUGAUUCUUCCCUCUCGACAGUUAACGUUUAAAGGAAGGAAUCCCAAGUGUUUGGAGGUUUAUCAUAUGGUAUCAGAACUGAUCAUCAGCGUCUCAAAAAAGGCCACAUACAGAGGAACUAACUUGAAAAAUGUGAAGCAUUGUAGAGUGCAGCCCCGAAACGUCGCUCUCAAAGCUAGUGCCGAAGUCCAAGUGGUGAAACAUCGCUCUCAAAGGUAGUGUCUAAAUCCAAGUGGUGUCUAAAUCCCACAUCAAGUAGUCUAUGAUGUUCGUUGGAGAGUGCCUGGCGCAUAUUUGGAUUACCAGUGAGAUUGGCAAAAUCAUGAUGAGCCAUUACC